AUGUAUCAUCUUGAAGGUCUGAAAGAUGCUGCUGCACUUGAUCUCUUCAAAAAGAAGGUGUUUAAGGACAAGGCAGGAAAGGUUAAUUUGGCCCUUGGUAUGGAGGAACAAGCAAAACUUAUCUUAAAGAAGUGCGAUGGACUUCCCCUUGCAAUAUCAACAAUAGGUGGAUUCCUGGCCACUAAACCUAAAACUGCUGUUGAAUGGAGGAAGAUGCAUGGCCGUAUUAGUGCUGAGUUGGAGAUCAACCCAGAGCUUAGGACUAUAAAGAAAGUCCUUAUGAGGAGCUAUGAUGGCUUACCCUACCACCUCAAGUCAUGUUUCUUAUACAUGGCCAUAUUCCCGGAAGACUACGCAAUUAAGCGCAAGCGUUUGGUGAGGCGAUGGAUUGCAGAGGGUUAUUGCAAGGAGAUGCAGGGCAUGACAGCUGAAGAAGUUGGUGACACCUACUUUGAUGAGCUUUUAGAGAGGAGUAUGAUUCUGCCGGGAGAAGGUGUAAACCAUCAUAGUGGAAAAGGUGAUUCUUGUCAGCUUCAUGAUAUCAUUCGUGAAAUAUGCAUCUCGAAGGCUAGGGAGGAGAACCUUGUUUUCACACUUGAGGAUGGAUGUUGUUUGAGCAGUACACAAGGUCCAAUACGUCAUCUUGUCAUUAGCAGCAAUUGGAAAAGAGAUGAAGUUGUGUUCGGUAGUAUGCUAGACUUGUUGCAAGUGUGA
rnacentral:rRNA from 1 species